rnacentral:lncRNA from 1 species
GAAAACUCAUUUGAUUAGAUCACAUCCACAAUAAAUUUUUUAGUUAGCAUGAAUAUAUGAACAAAACAUGAGGCCAUGAACCAUUUAUUGUUACUUUGUUGUGAUUAAUUUUGUGUCUUUUUUCAUAGGUGAGACUCACUUCUUUUAAGGAUGAGCUUGUGCUUCACAAAGGUAAUGAAAUGUUUUUCUAUCAAGUUCAUUUUGGUAUUUAUUUUGUAUAUUUUUCUAUUAUUAAAGCAUAAUAAUUACAUGAAUGUCAUUAGUGACAAAAUUUGCAGUCAUAUAAAAAAAAUUGUUGUGCAAUUUACUAACAAUUACNNNNNNNNNNNNNNNNNNNNNNNNNNNUUAUAGAAGUUUAUAUUUACAGAAACCCUACAUAGUUUCAAUGAUAUACACAUAUAAAUCAAUAAUCCUAAUAAAGUGGGAACUCAAAUUCUGAAGAUUGCAACUACUGCUUCCAGCUUUAUACCCCCUCUUAUUCAGGAAGCAAUCUAAUAAGUUGUUUCAUAACUUUACCAAGUUUACAAAUUUAUUGUUAUUUAAUUAGAGUUAUGAGUUGGGAGAUUUUUAGCUUGGCUAGGAUUAACUUAACUGAAUUAGUAGUAAAAAUAAAUGUUAGUGCAUUCUAUUUUAUAUACACAUGAAUCCGAUCCAACAUCAAUCCAAUCAGCAUAAAAUUAAGACCAAAUAAUCACUUUCUUCAUACAAUCAUGCAUAAUAGCAUUACACUAUGAAAAUGUAGUGAAGAUUUUUCUCACCUCAUGUAUUCCUUCUUGUGUUGUCACACAGAUACAUUAAUAGCUCGUGUUGUGUGAGAUAACGAUCUUCUGUUGCAUAUAUCACAGGGAACGACUUCAACGGAUCAGCUUUGGAGACAACAUCUGCAGCAAAAUAAAUAAUUUCAAAAUAUUUUCAAUUUUUUAUAAAGAAAAUUUUCAUAAAAACAAUCAUGUGACAUGUUAGACUAUUGAGAAUUUGUUGGUUCAAUAACUGAACUAAAACUUACGAAACUUCAUGUGAAGAACAACCAAAAUAAUACAAUAAAUAAACCGAAGCUUGCUAUACUUAAUGUGUCAAACCAGUUUUUUUGCAUCUCCCCACCAUAGGUGUCCAAAACCAACAAAGAGGAUAGUUAGUUAUANNNNNNNNNNNNNNNNNNNNAAUUUUAUGAUCUUGAUUGAAAAAUAUUCUUACAAGGUUAUAGUAAAAGAUGUUUACCUUGAAUGCUAAUGUGAUAGCAUCUACGAGGCAAGAAAGGAAGAAGCAGUACUUCAAAUGGAAUAUAUACCACCACCAAUAGAGGACUAUUAGUUUUAAAAAAAGGAUUACAUAAAAAGAUAGCAAAGCUGGGUUACCAACUAUGCACUUCUCUAUCUUAACUCAAAAACAUUAUACCAAGAAACAUUGGAAUUCAACACCAAUGUGAAGAUACAGACCCAUCAUAAAUUAAUAUUUCCAUACACAUAAUACAAAGAUGGUCAGGAAGAACUAUUGUAGACAGAUGAUUUUGAUCAUUUUGAAUCAUUUGAUAAUGUAACUCAAGUGAAAAAAAUUAUAAUCACAUAUUAAUAUAUNNNNNNNNNNNNNNNNNNNNNNNNNNNNUAGAGACUUUGACAUACACAUCAGUUAUUUUAAUUGCAUACCUUAUACCGGAGACGGUGUCGUUGUCUUAAUUGAACUAAUUCAAUCCACUCUGUAGAAGGAGACCUCUCAUCUUCAAUAGUUUCAUUUCGAAGGAAUCUAUCUCUAAACAAUGACCGCAAAUGAUAAUAUUGUAUAAAUAGUCAAUUUAUAACUAGAGGGUGUAUACUUGGUGAAAAAGUAGAAACAACCAAGUCAUGUACACAUAGAUAUCUUUAAGUCUCAUGAUUUAUUAUUAUUUUAUUUGGUGAGGAAGUAAUUAAAAUAAAGGAGUCGACUGAUGAAUUUUCCGGCAAAUAUAACAAAUUUAAAUACCGAAAAAUCAAUAACAUUCUAUAACUA